rnacentral:rRNA from 1 species
GAUGAACGCUAGCGGCAGGCCUAACACAUGCAAGUCGAGGGGCAGCAUAAAAUUAGCUUGCUAAUUUGGUGGCGACCGGCGCACGGGUGCGUAACGCGUAUGCAACCUACCCUGUACUGAGGGAUAGCCCAGAGAAAUUUGGAUUAACCCCUCAUGGUAUUAUUGAAUCGCAUGGUUUAAUAAUUAAAGGUUACGGUACAGGAUGGGCAUGCGUCCUAUUAGCUAGUUGGUACGGUAACGGCGUACCAAGGCGACGAUAGGUAGGGGGCCUGAGAGGGUGGUCCCCCACACGGGUACUGGGAAACGGACCAGACUCCUACGGGAGGCAGCAGUAAGGAAUAUUGGUCAAUGGGCGCAAGCCUGAACCAGCCAUGCCGCGUGCAGGAAGAAUGCCCUAUGGGUUGUAAACUGCUUUUGUACCAGAGAAAACCUACUCACGUGUGAGUAGCUGAUAGUAUGGUAAGAAUAAGCAUCGGCUAACUUCGUGCCAGCCGCCGCGGUAACAC